UCCGUAGGGGGCCCGCGUUCUCCGUCUUUACUGGGUUUCCAGGGCGCGUAGGCGUCAAGACACUUCUGAUGUGAAAGCCCGGGGCUCAACCCCGGGACUGCAUUGGAAACUGUUUAGCUAGAGUGUCGGAGAGGUAAGUGGAAUUCCUAGUGUAGCGGUGAAAUGCGUAGAUAUUAGGAGGAACAUCAGUGGCGAAGGCGACUUACUGGACGAUAACUGACGCUGAGGCUCGAAAGCGUGGGGAGCAAACAGGAUUAGAUACCCUGGUAGUCCACGCUGUAAACGAUGAAUACUAGGUGUCGGGUGGCAAAGCCAUUCGGUGCCGCAGCUAACGCAAUAAGUAUUCCACCUGGGGAGUACGUUCGCAAGAAUGAA
rnacentral:rRNA from 1 species